rnacentral:sRNA from 1 species
GACGCGCGCCGACUGAGGCGCCCCAGGAUUGGCUGCGCUGCUGUGGGUCACGGAAAGCGACCUGUUCAGGUGCCGUGUUCCGCAUUCGGCGAAUAGUUGUGCUUCGCUCUUAAGUACCAGGCACCAAGUCCCCAAAUGAGUUUCCACUUCUAGCGUGACCCUUUUGCCUGUGGGAUGAGCUCCAGCAUGGGGUGAGGUACAGAAGAGAGACUUGAAGAGCGUGCCUUGGGACUCAAGCGCCAAACCUGUACCCUAGCGAGUGUCUUACUCCGCAUCCAUAAUGGAAGGAAAUGCACAUCUUACUCCAGAGGCACAAGAGGAGGACAUCCCAUGCUGUCUACUCCUGCCCAGUGUGGUGGGGCAGCAGAAGCUCCAGAGCCCAGACUUGCAGGCUCACGGUGCAGGGUGAACCUGGCCACAGCUCACCUCUGGAACAGCCGCAGUGUCAGCCCCUUAGAGAAGAACGCUGAAAUCAGACCAGUUUUUGUGGCCUCCCCCUUUCCUCUCUGUUACAGUGCCCUUUCCAGGCCUUAAGAGAAGUAAAACUUAGCUGCAGCGUCA